AUUUGCUCCUUUCACCUGUAGAGGGCACUGUAUUACCACUCACCAGUAACUGUCAGACCUUGCCUCUGGGACCAUAGGAGUGUAGUAUGUCCUGCCUCUGUUUCUGAUACCCAGUAACUCAAACUAAGAGAAGCUACGUUCCUGCUGUGACCCCACUAUGGAUAUCUGGCUCCUAUGUUGGAUAUUUUUUAGUUUCCUGGAAACAGGACUCACGGGACCCAAAGUCACGCAGACCCCAAGUCAUGAAGUGGUACAUGUGGGGCAGAUGGUGACCCUCAGCUGUGACCCUGUCUCUAAUCACAUAUCCUUUUAUUGGUAUAAACUGAUCUUGGGACAGCAGAUGGAGUUUCUGGUUUCUUUCUCCGGUAGUAAAACCUUGGACAAGUCUGAUCUAUUCAAGGAGGAUCGGUUUUCAGUUGAAAGGAAAGAGGAUUCAUAUUUCACUCUGAAGAUCCAGCCCACAAUGUUGGAGGACUCAGCCAUGUACUUUUGUGCCAGCAGCUUAUACACAGUCUUGCAAAAACACCUCCUUCCUGAGAAAACUCUGUCCUUAGUGCUGCGGAGCUUUGGCUCUGAUAACUGCACCUUGGAAUCACAGGAUCAGGACAUCAGUCACAACAGCCUAAGUGGUCACCAUAGGCUAGAUGUGACUGGACAGUGUGGCUUCUAA